GUUAAUUUUUAUCUAGAACAAAUCAAACUAAUUGAAAUAUUUCUUUGUUUGAUAGACAAAUUUAAAAUCGUGAACUCUUUAGAAAUCAAUGAAAUUUUAAGUAUUGUCAUAAUAAUUGUGCUGUUUUAUAAUCAGUAUAGUGCAUAAUAUCAUACAGUUAUAUUUUUGUAUUGUUUGCCAGGGUAAACACAUUGCUUUAAAUAGUGUGUUAUAUUUUUAAAGUUCUUGUAUUAAAUGCAUUAUGCCAUAGAAAAAUAUCUCGCAAUUUUGAUUGAAACACUUGGACAAUACCCCUAAUAUUUGAUGGUGUUAUUUCAUUUAGUAUGAAAGCUAUUUACAUAACCAUGUGUCAGUAAUAGAAGAUAUAUUCUAAGCUGAAAGCAAUAGAUAGAAUUUAAGCUAAAAGUCAUCCCAUUUAAAGACAUUUAUCUGUCUCAGAUAAGAAUUUCUGAUGCAUAAUACACUGACAAGUAUUCAUUAAUAUAAAAAUGUAAUCUUUAAAUUCAUUAAAAUUUCUAAUGAUUUAGAUAGAUAAUGAACA
rnacentral:lncRNA from 1 species